GGUCCAGUCGGACCUCAUGGUCAAGCCUCGUGCGGAAAGUGCUUAAGGGUGACAAAUACACGUACAGGAGCUCAAACGACGGUGAGAAUCGUGGAUCAAUGCAGCAACGGCGGACUAGAUUUGGACAUUAACGUUUUUCGACAAAUCGAUACAGACGGAGUAGGAAAUCAACAAGGACACCUUAUUGUGAACUACCAAUUUGUUAAUUGUGGUGACAAUGUCAAUGUUCCUCUGCUUUCUGUAGUUGACAAAGAAUGAGAAACAACUACAUGGCUCUGUUUAGUCUAAUGGUUGUAUAAAAGUCAUCUUUGAUGAUUUAAAAAAAGAAUAAAAGAACAAAAUGAAAAAGGAAAAAAAAAGGUUCUUAGAAGGGGUUAGUCAAUUCCAUAUGAUCUGUUGAUCAUGAAUGUCUUCAUUUAAGAAAAAGAGAGUUGAAGUGUGUAUUGUAUUUGUGAUCAUUUUGUACUCGACUUUUUUGUAUUUUGAAUAAGAAAUACCAAGAACUCUUGUUUGGUGAUUGAA